CCCAGGCUGGGGAUAAGUGGCUGGGGAGCAGCUCGGCUGAAAGGGACCUAGGGGUGCUGGUGGGCAUUAGCCUGGCAUCAGCCAGCAAUGUGCCCUGGCAGCUGAGGGGGCAACCUGCAUUUUGGGGGGUGUUAAACCCAGCAUAGCCAGCUGCUCCAAGGAGCCCUGCAGUGGCCAGGCAGCUGGACCAGAUGAUCUUUGAAGGUCUUUUCCCUAGCUGAACAAUUCCAUGCAAUUCCAUCCUGGAAAUGUCAAUAGAGUGUUGAGGUAGCUGCUGGUCCUCUGGCAAUGGUCCCCAGCCACCUGCAUCAGACUGAAUGUGGAGUUACCUUUUUGCAUGACUGAAGUCUAAGUGAAAGAGUUGGCAGCCUCAGGAAUGUGUCUCACACUUUCCGUGGUUUCUCUGAGAAUGGGACAGAACAGAGCAUGCAAAUGUGACCAUAAACUGCCAGUAGGUAAGAUGUAGUUGUAUAUUA